rnacentral:rRNA from 1 species
AGGAUGUGAAGAUCCCAAAACAACCAGGAGGUUGGAUUAGAAGCAGCCAUCAUUUAAAGAAAGCGUAACAGCUCACUGGUCUAGAUAAGGAUUUUUGCGCCGAAAAUGUAACGGGGCUAAAGCCAUGCACCGAAGAUGAGGAUUUGUUUAUUUUUAAACGAGUGGUAGCGGAGCGUUCCGUAAGCUGAUGAAGGAGGACUUGUGAGAGCCUCUGGAGGUAUCGGAAGUGAGAAUGUUGACAUGAGUAACGAUAAAGAGGGUGAGAAACCCUCUCGCCGAAAGACCAAGGGUUCCUGCUUAAAGUUAAUCUGAGCAGGGUUAGCCGGCCCCUAAGGUGAGGCGGAAACGCGUAGCUGAUGGGAACCACAUUAAUAUUUGUGGGCCUGGUGGAAGUGACGGAUCAAGUAUAUUGUACAUUUUUAUUGGAUUAAGUGUGCUUUGGAUUGGUUCCAGGAAAUAGCUCCACCGUAUAGACCGUACCCGAAACCGACACAGGCGGUCAGGGAGAGCAUACUAAGGCGCUUGAGAGAACUGCGGUGAAGGAACUCGGCAACUUUAUAUCGAAACUUCGGAAGAAGGGUAACCUGCUUUUAGGCAACUAUGAGUAGGUGGCACAAAAUAGGGAGUAGCGACUGUUUACUAAAAACACAGGACUCUGCAAACACGUAAGUGGAAGUAUAGGGUCUGACGCCUGCCCGGUGCUGGAAGGUUAAUAGGAAGGGUGCAAGCUCUGAAUUGAAGCCCCAGUAAACGGCGGCCGUAACACUGACGGUCCUAAGGUAGCGAAAUUCCUUGUCGGGUAAGUUCCGACCCGCACGAAUGGCGUAACGAUUUCUCCACUGUCUCCAACAUCAUUUCAGCGAAAUUGAAUUCCCCGUGCAGAUGCGGGGUACCCGCGGUUAGACGAAGAGACCCCGUGCACCUUUACUAUAGCUUUACAUUGCUAUUAAAGAUGUCAUGUGCAGGAAAGGGGGGAGACUUUG